rnacentral:lncRNA from 1 species
CUUGUUUGUAAUAGAAAGUGAAAUGAGAUGUUGGAAUAUUGCAUGUGAAAGGAAUAAUUGUUACUCCAAGUAUUUGUACUGUGGAGAAGGGCGUGUUGGAGAUUUUGGGUUUUUGAGCGAUUCAUGCCCUCUUCUUGAGCGAAAUGAAAUUAAAGAUUCAACAAACUUUGAUUUUGGAAUAUUUCUUGAUGCUCUUCAAACUCGUGUGCUGGAAACUAGAGACUUCCCUCAGAAAUUCUUGUAUUGUUCAUGGUGGGGCUUGCAGAGUCUAAGGUUAGUAAUCACUUCAUCUAAAUGAGAUAACAAACUUACAACACAUAAACAAGAGAGCUUUCUUUUUUGAAAUAAAAAUGUUUUUCUUUUGUGAUCCAGUUCACUUGGUCAAGGCCUUAAAGCAAGCACUUUCUAUGGGGAGAUUCUAUUUGCAGACUUCAUUGCCAUAAUUGGGCUGGUUCUAUUCGCUUUGCUUAUUGGUAACAUGCAGGUUUAAUUCGUAUAUUCUAAUCACUAAAUUAAACAUGUUUCCACAUACUGUAUGUAUGAUUCAUGAGCUAAUUAAUACAAUGGUUGUUACAGAAAUACUUGCAGUCUUUCUCAAACCUGACUCUAAGAGUGGAGGAGAUGAAGGAAAAAAGGCGAGAAGCAGAGGAUCUCAUGUCACAUAUUUCCCUCCCUGAAAAUUUAAGGGAACGAGUUAGAAGACACAAGCAUUACAAAUGGAAGAUAACAAAGGGUGUUGAGUUAGAUUCCUUUGUCAAAGACCUUCCUCGGGAUUUGAGGAGGGACAUAAAACGUCAUCUUUGCUUGUCUUCACUCAUGAGAGUCAGUCAUAUUUCUUAACUAAAAAUAUGUAUCAGCGUAAAUUACGUUUUUGGUCCCCGAGUAUAGCUAACCUUUUCAAUUUUGGUCCUGGACUGUAUCCAUCCAGGUACCUAUGUUUGAAGCAAUGGAUGAACAUAUGAUGGAUGCCAUGUGUGAUCGUUUGAAGCCAGUUCUUUACACACAAAAUAGCUACAUACUCAGAGAGGGAGAUCCAGUACCUGAGAUGCUCUUCAUCACACGUGGGACCCUACAAAGUAUUACAACUGAUGGUGGAAGGGCUGGCUUCUUCAACUCUGAUCACCUCAGGGCUGGUGACUUCUGUGGAGAAGAGCUUCUGACAUGGGCUUUGGCUCCUCCAACUCCAACACUCCCUUUCUCAACUAGAACUGUUCAAGCACUUACAGAUGUUGAAGCUUUUGCUCUAUCAGUUGAUGAUCUCAUGUUUGUGGCUUCCCAGUUUAAACGUCUCCACAGCAGACAUCUCCAGCAUACUUUUAGGUAACAAUGUUAAUUUAUCUCUUUUUCAACUUUGAAUGGGAUAAUAACAAUAAUUAAUUAAUUAAUUAAUUGCUCUUUUGGGAUUUGUGUUUGAUUUUCAGAUUCUACUCACAACAGUGGAGGACAUGGGCAGCAUGCUACAUACAGUCGGCAUGGCGUAGACACUGGAGAAGGAAGCUGGAAAUGGCUAAAGCAUUGGAGGAUAGUAGAAUGCAUGAUGCCUUUGUUAGGGAAACCUCCACACUCAGCCUUGGUGCCUCCAUUUAUGCUGCUAGAUUUUCCUCUAAUGCCUUGCGCGUGUUGAGGCGCAAGAAUUACACACAACUGUCAAAACCUGUUUGGCAAAUAAUGCUGCCACCCAAGCCACCACAGCCGGAUUUUGAGAAUCAUGCAACAGCAAUCGUUACCUUCAGGUAAAUGUAACUUUCUCCUUGUCAGUGUUUUUUUUUUUUUUUUUGGAGUAUAGUAUGAAAUAUGAUUAUAGAUAGGUGUUUUUAGCAUUGUUGUGUAGUGGAGUAUGGAAGGAAUGAAUGUAACCUAGUUUGUAACCAUCUUCUCCAAUUUUAUACAACACAUUGUUUAUGUAAGUACAUGUAGAGUGAGUUACUUUGUUAUUUCAAUUAGCAAAUGGAGUGGGAGUUAGUUUGUAUCAUCUUCAUCGCUACACUUGUUUCAUUUAUAAUGGCCAAUUUACUGUUAGGGGAGUCGCUAAAGCACAACCGUGCUUUAGCGACUUGUACGUUCGCAUGUGGUUCUUUUUUUUUUUUUUCGUAUAAAUACCCUAUCUCCGACUAAAAUCGUAGUUCAUCUGCAAUUUCCUAUCACCCCCCCUGCCAUUUUGCGUUUUUUCUUUUUUUCUUUUUUUUUUUUAAAUUUUACUACGAAAGUGAUAAAGUUUGAUUACGAAACAACUUUAUUAUAUAUAAAGUUUUGCAAAAAAAUUAUCACUUUAGUUGUUAUUUAUUUGGAAAAUUUAUUUAAAGCCUCUCUAAUGAAUUCUCCAACAAAAAGUUUGAAAAAUGAAAUCAUCCAUAGUGUGUGUGUGUGUGUGUGUGGGGGGGGAGAGAGAGAGAGAGAGAGAGAGAGAGAGAGAGAGAGUUUUUAUUUUUUAUUUGUAAUUAUUUAAAUACUAAAAUAAAUAAAGAAAAUAGAAAAGGGUAAAAUGGACUUUUCAAGUGUAUCAAGAACUAAAAACUCAGAAAACAUUGAUUUUGGACCUUCCAUGCAAGCUAAAAACUUUUUGAACCUAUCCAAAGUUUUUUGAAUACCAUAAAGACCAAAUUUGCAGUUUUGUCUUUUUUUCUUAAUAAAUUACCUAUUAUUUUGGUCUGAUUAUAUUCCUCUACAAGUGUGUUUUGGUACAAACUAACUCCCACUCCAAUUGAAGUGCUUAAACCAUAUUGUACGUUUGCAAAUGGAAUGUUAAAAUUGCAGAUGAGCUUAAUCCAUCUGCGAUUUUCAUAGCUAUAUUUGUAAUGUGGGGGUUUUUUGGUUAUUUUCCAUAAAAUAAUUAAAGGAUUAGGCUAUAUUUAUAAUUUUCUCAAUUGUAUGAGACACCAAAAUUGUAGCAUAGAAAACCAUUCAAAAUAGAGUGGCUUUGAAUCCACCACUACCAAUUUAGACGGAUAUUAAGUCUUCUCUAGCUAACUAGAGUCCUAGAGUAAUACAACCAUCACAUAUAUACUUGGACAAACUAUAUAUAUGUAUAUAAACAAGCAUUUGUAUUUUAUUCCUAAAAGUGACUUGGAUGCUUAAACCUACAAAAUGAAAUCACUUGUUAUUAACCUCUUAGCCAUUAAGCUACCAAAUUUUCAAUUAAAAGUACGGAUUAUACCUCUAAAAGUGACUUAAUUGGGAUGCUAAAGACAAGUUUAUUUCUCCCUUUUUAUUGUAUGAUUUGUUGUCACACAGCCUUAUUCAGAGUAAAUCAAAUUCUACCCCAUUUAUUUUAUCAUGUUGAAUAAAACGAUCACAUCCAAGUCCCUUAAAAUUUAGGUUGUCACAUAUUAUUGAAAACAUAUCACUCUUGUAAAUUUAAAUCGUUUACUAAUCCUUACAAUAACUAGCAUUACAUCAUAUGUAUAUAAAGAAGCAAUGGUAUUAUUGGAAGAUACACAACCAGUUAUUCAAAUACAGUCAUAAGUUACCAAGUACAUUGGUUCAUGUUAUUCCUAUAGUCCUUGCUCACGCCACAUCAGCAUGUCUACUUCCACCCUGCAAAUAAGACAUAAGCUUUAGUAUUUACACAUCAACAAUUAAUUAUGAACGAGAAAGAAUGAGGAUUGAAAGUACUUUUUGCAGUCGUAGUCUUGAUUGAUGGGAGGAAACUUCAAACCAACAUGGCAUUUUUUAGGAAGAAGAGUGAUUCGUUUUGGAUCAUAAUUGUUCAAUCUUUUCAUGACUUGUUUCACACAGUUACAGAUAGCCACACGAUCAUUCUUGGUUUUCCCCAUAGCUGUCAAACCCUUGACUGAUGAACAGCAAGAAUUCGUUGGCUCAUGACCAUUUAUGAAACUCAAGCAAGAUGUCAAUCUGGAUGUGACACGUCCACAUGAUGGAACUGCAAACACCAUCGGCUUCCAUGAAACCAAUAGCAAAGUAAUUGCAACAGACCACAGUAUGCGAACACCAACACUGUCCAUUCUUUGAUGGAAAACUGAUAAAUGAUUUGGGUUUUCACUUUUAUUUUAUGCAGAUAUAACUGAUAUCUUGUAUGGUGUGUGUAUAUAUAUAUAUAUAUAUAUAUAUAUAUAUAUAUAUGUACAUUCUCAGUUUCAUUUCGACAACUAAAUUGUCUGUUUUAUUUCANGUAUUCCACUAGGUGACGAAAAGUUGAAAACCUUCAUGCAUUUGGUGUGUUUCCAUUUUGUCACACUUUUGUACAAGUUUCGUGUUAUAAAGGAUUUGGUAGUAAUUAAGAUAAAUUCAAACAGCACUGCAACUAUGUAGUUCGAGUAGAUUAUAUUAUCAAUAAUAUAAUAUCAUAAACUUCAACCUUGGAAUGUUGUGUGCUUAAAAGAAAAUAAAAAUGAACGGUUUUGAUAUGCGAUGGACUUGUUGAGACUCGGCAAAAGUAUUACUGAUCCCCCAAUUAAACUACCAUUAGGUUUGUUGUAAUAUUGGUACAGAAAUGGAAUCCCAACAUAUGAUACAAAUUAAUAUUUUAACGGGUUGUCACCACACAAUACAAAAAUUAAAUAAGUAUGGUUAGAAUCAAGAUAUCAAUCUAUUUAGGGGUGUUUGAGAUUGCUUGUUUGAAGUGUUUAUUGAUUUAUUGUGGUUUGACAUCAGUAAUAAGUUAUUUUACAUGUUUGGAUAAAAAAAAGAUCCAUAAACACUUAGUGACUUAAAUAAAAAGGUUUUGAUAAGUUGUUUUCUCUUUAUUUGUUUACUUAUAUAAACAACUAGGUUAUAACCCGUGGAAACAACGGUCGGUAUGAUUAAAAUUUUAUAUAUUAAUAAAAAUUAAUAACUGUAAAAAAAAUGCCUUGUAUUGCCGAUUGUGAGUUAUAUCGAAUUAAUUUGAAAAGUGAAAUCAAAAAAUAAUACUUUAACAUAGAUUUUGAAAUACUUCUUUGUACACAACAUUAAAGGUUUCAUUGGUCUAAUUACGAAUCUUUAUCUAAAAUCAAUAACUUCAAUCACUUUAUACCACACAAAAUAGAUGACCAAGUGUUAAAUCCUCUUGAUACUGCCUUCUUAAAGAAAAAGUACAUAAAAGGGCUCAUGGUAGAUUAAAACAGUAAGCAAUGGAGGGUUAUUAAUCAAAUCAUACUGAGCUAAUGACAUUCAUGAAUUGAUAGAAGAUUCAAAGUUUAAAAACUACACUUUCUAUCUUCUUCCUGUAGCGAGUGAUAUAAACCUAAAUUUCAUUCAUGAUAUUUUAUACAUCUUAUUAUUAACAAAAAUGUUGACACAGAUGUUCAGAAUUUUUAUAGUAAUGUGCUAUGCAUGCACUACAACCAUGUAUUUUAAAUAUAGGUAAAAUGGGGAAAUCAAAAACCAAUAAUUGGAUGUUAAAAAAGUCUAACAUAAGCAUGAAACACAAAUUUUAGUCAUUAAGCAUUAUAGCAAAUAGAAGAAAAUUGAUUACACAUUAAAUUAUUAAUAAUAAUACAGUGAAAUAGAUAACAUAAAUUGAAGUGGCCAAUGUAAAUAGAUAAAUUAGAAUCCAAACGAAGAGUAAAGACAUCCAAAAAACUGAAGAUAACCCCCAUAUUCUUUUGAGCUUUACAAAGAACACUUGAACACUUGAAGAAUUGAACCCCGAAGUGAACCUCUACACAAAUUACAAACACAUAAAUGGAAAAAACAAAAGUAUAUAACCCAAUAACCAAUAUAAAUAACUAAAGAUCAAUUGCUAGUCUUUAAGAUUCCAUCUCCACACAUCCAUCAAGCCAGAUGCUUGUGUUACCUAAAUGCAAAUUAGCAAAUACACAUCAAGAUCAUAUUAGGAAUGUAAUUGAUGCAACAAACCUGUUAAGGGAUUAUUUAAAUAUGAAAUCACCUCACAGUACACAAUUCCAUUUGGAAUAAAGAAAACCAAACUGUGUAAGGGGAAUGUCUCCUCUAAUCUCUCAUGUCUUUAAAUAAACUGGAGCAGUCAAUCUAAUUCAUUAUACAAUUCCAUUUUGAUUAAAAAUGUAUUAGAAUGACAAUGAUGGAAUCUACCUACCUGAAGUGAAAGAGAUCCGAGUAACCUACAUAAUUAGAAGUAGAGCACCAAGCUGGAAAAUAGUGAAAACAUAUGAUAGAAUCAUCCACCUCUUUCUCCAAACACUUGGAGGGAUCCAAUAAAGUUGACAUUUCAAUGCGUUCAAAAGCAUUAAUAUGCGUAGGUCAUUGCUUUGAUAGUUUUCUGAAUCAUUUGGCUGAAAAAACAAAAAAAACGAUCAAUGAAAAUCUAUAUUACUAAGGCAGUGUUGACUGUGUUGUAACAAAUAUGCAAAUCAUUAGAAUAAAAAAAAAAAAAACCUUUAGGAUUACUUUAGGAGGACGAUUUGUAGAAUCUUCUUCAAGAGUAGCUUCAGAAAAUCCAGUUCCAUGUCCAUGGACACAUCCCUAAAUAUAUUAACACUUCAUCAAAAAAAAAAUAGUGCUUAUGAAAAGCCAGAAAGCUAAAAUGCAAAAAAUUCAAGUAGUCAUUGUGGUGGUGAGUCGUCCGAUGUUGGCUGCAUCUUGCUUCCUAAUCGUGUUCUGAUUAGUUUUUGAACUGCUUUAGCGAUGCUCUUUACGCUUACCAGCCUCUAGAGAAUGAGAAAGCCGGUAUGCAGACACAGAGAGAGGAUGACAUCGAUGAGUGGUGGAUGUGUUGUUCUUUCAAAGAGAUUAAGGAAUUGGGAGCUUAACGUUUUUUUGUGUCUGGUCGAUCGAUCAAGAUAAUGGGAGGACGGUUAUGGGAGCAAGAUUGGUGGCGAUAUUCAUGGAUGGGAUUAACGAAACCAUCUUUCAAUCCAAAUUCCAAUUUGCAGUAUGCGGGUUUUCUUUUUUCAUCCUUGUAUAUGGUCUAUUCGAAAGUCAUACCUAUCCCAAAAAAUCAGGGAUUAAGUUGCUAUUAACAAAACGAAAAUUAUUUAAAUUUAAUAUGAGCAUUAAAAAGAAUUAGAAAUGUUAGAAUAGCGGAAAAUCGUGAGGGUCAAGAAAAAUGCCAUGUGGCAAAGGAGUUGUAGAAAAAUGUCAUGUGGCAAAGGAGAUAUAGAAUAUCGACAAAUGACAAAUUUUGAUUUUGUUUAUUAGAAGAGGUAGAUUGGUGGGAGCAAGAUUGGUGGCGAUAUUCAUGGAUGGGAUUAACGAAACCAUCUUUCAAUCCAAAUUCCAAUUUGCAGUAUGCGGGUUUUCUCUUUUCAUCCUUGUAUAUGGUCUAUUCGAAAGUCAUACCUAUCCCAAAAAAUCAGGGAUUAAGUUGCUAUUAACAAAAUGAAAAUUAUUUAAAUUUAAUGUGAGCAUUAAAAAGAAUUAGAAAUGUUAGAAUAACGGAAAAUCGUGAAGGUCAAGAAAAAUGCCAUGUGGCAAAGGAGUUGUAGAAAAAUAUCAUGUGGCAAAGGAGAUAUAGAAUAUCGACAAAUGGCAAAUUUUGAUUUUGUUUAUUAGAAUAGGUAGAUUAGUGGGAGCAAGAUUGGUGGCGAUAUUCAUGGAUGGGAUUAACGAAACCGUCUUUCAAUCCAAAUUCCAAUUUGCAGUAUGCGAGUUUUCUCUUUUCAUCCUUGUAUAUGGUCUAUUCAAAAGUCAUACCUAUCCCAAAAAAUGAGGGAUUAAGUUGCUAUUAACAAAAUGAAAAUUAUUUAAAUUUAAUAUGAGCAUUAAAAAGAAUUAGAAAUGUUAGAAUAACGGAAAAUCGUGAAGGUCAAGAAAAAUGCCAUGUGGCAAAGGAGUUGUAGAAAAAUAUCAUGUGGCAAAGGAGAUAUAGAAUAUCGACAAAUGGCAAAUUUUGAUUUUGUUUAUUAGAAGAGGUAGAUCAUAAAUUAUUUCCUCAUUUAACGGAUUAGUGGGAAAGAGAUGCGUGUGCUUUUUACAAGAGAUUAAAAAAAACUGUCGCAUACGUGUGUUUUGCAUGUGAAGGUUUAGAAGAAAGCAACCAAUGUGGAAAUUGCUUUUUAUUCCGAUGUCAUUGCUAUAAUUGACUAAUUGAGUAGAUAUUACAAAGUAUAUUGUUUUAAUAGUAAGAAAUGGAAGUAAGAUGAUGUAAUAAACAAAUCAAUUAAAGUGCAUUGCUAUUUCUUGCAUUAUUUGUAGUUUAUAUCGUAGACAACAAAAUCUAAUGUUAAAUCUGCAUUCUUAUUCCACUUUGUAGGGAACAUGCUUUAAAACUUACUGGUUUGAAAUAUGUAAAGCAUCUCAAAGAUUAUUUGGCUAAAAUUCCCUCUCCAAAUGUUCACUGAAGUCACUUUGAGGCAUGAUUGACGAAAAAAUUGAAAAUAAUUUCCGAACUUAUAUUUCUAUACUUGUACGUGUUUUUUUCGCGUAGGAUAUUUUUGAUUUCACACCUUAUAUAAUGCCCGACUUUAGAGCCGGAUUUAAAGGGGCACAGUGGGCAACUGCUAUAUAUAUAUAUAUANNNNNNNNNNNNNNNNNNNNNNNNNNNNNNNNNNNNNNNNNNNNNNNNNNNNNNNNNNNNNNNNNNNNNNNNNNNNNNNNNNNNNNNNNNNNNNNNNNNNNNNNNNNNNNNNNNNNNNNNNNNNNNNNNNNNNNNNNNNNNNNNNNNNNNNNNNNNNNNNNNNNNNNNNNNNNNNNNNNNNNNNNNNNNNNNNNNNNNNNNNNNNNNNNNNNNNNNNNNNNNNNNNNNNNNNNNNNNNNNNNNNNNNNNNNNNNNNNNNNNNNNNNNNNNNNNNNNNGAAUGAUGUGUGUGUGUGUGUGUGUGUGUGUAUAUAUAUAUAUAUAUAUAUAUAUAUUGUUGGAAAUUAUAGAGGUAAUCUUGGAAGUUGGCAAGUUUCCUCUAUCCCACAUUGGUGAUGGAAGAUAUUGCAACAUAAUAUUCUGUUAUUUCGUAGAUAUGGCAACAAAAUAUUCUACCAUUUUGUAGAUAUGACAACAGAAUAUUCUUGCACUUCGUAGAUAUGACAAUAUAAUAUUCUAUCACUUCGUAGAUAUGGCAACAGAAUAUUUUGGAAGGGUUAGAAAACGUUUUUUUUAACGGCAGCUUGAUUGGUUAGAUGUUAGUGUUAAUACUCCAAUUCUUGUUAGCACCAAGGAUCGAACCCAAAGAGAAAGUUGCAAAUUUUACGUGCAUGCAUGGUCCUAAAUGCCAAAACCAAGCUAAGGGAAAUGUUUAACCCAAAGAGAAAGGCCCAAGCUUGCUAAAUCUGAUAACUUUAUGGCUAUAAGGACUUAGAGAAGUCCAGAUCUGAAGUUACAACUUCAGAUCAUGACCAAUGCCUGAAAUGGUUCACAUAUAUGCCAAUAGCCCUAAACUUAAGCAAGGAGAGAUCUAGCUAGAUGGAAGUCAAGGUAACGACUUAUUACCUUCAAAAUGAUUCCAAGAUGAAGUAGAGUCAGAUCCACAAGCUUUUCUUUUCUCCAAGCUCCUUAGAAUUCAAGCCUUCUUCACAAAAACCACUUUCCAAGCUUCUUCACACACACAAGUGGAGGGUAUUCGAGAUUAGGGUUUUCUGGACUCAAAGGGGUCGGUAAGGGAGGCUGAGGGAGGCUAAUGACCUUUAAAUAGGGUGCAAAAUCCCCGAAAAUUAGGGUUUCAUUUUCCAACUCCUACUCGUCGAGUUAGGGUCCUCUGACUCGCCGAGUAGGUUCAAUAAUCCACGCGAGCUAACCCACCUCUACACGACGAGUUGGGGCAACCAACUUGUCGAGUAGGUCCAUAAACAUGUAUAUAAGGUUUUAAAACUUAUACCUGAGAGUUGGGGUGUUACACAUAUAAUUCUUAAUAUUAUUUGUCGGUUUCCUUGCUUGUCUAUUAGUUUGAUUUACAACAAUCUUAAAGGUUUUUUUAUUUGUGUUUAUAAAUAAACAGACUAAUGGACACUCAAAUCCCAACUGCUAGUCUCCAUUACAUGAACCAAGAGUUUGCCAAGUUUGACUGAUUUGAUGGUCAGAAUUACACCUGUUGGGCUGACAAGGUCAAGUUCAUGCUUCAUGUGCUGAAGGUCGUCUAUGUUUUGGAGCCAAAAUUGGCCCCAAUUCCUGCUAAUCCAAUUCCCAAGGCGGGGAAAACUGUGGAUCCAACGAUCAUCUCUGAUCUGGAAAAGCAAAGGGUUAUGUAUAGAGAGUCUAAGGAAUUGUGUGUGGGUCACAUCAAGAACUCACUGUCUGAUCGACUCUAUGAUCUUUACGCGUCGGUCAAAGAUCCGAGAGAGCUAUGGAGUGCUUUGGAACUCAAGUACAAGGCACAUGAGGAAGGUACCAACAAGUACCUAGUGUCAAAGUACCUAGAGUUUCAAAUGGAUGAUGACAAACCUAUCAUGGAGCAAGUGCAUGAACUCCAGGUCAUGGUAAACAAAUAUGAGGACUACUCCCUGGUGCGAUCAUUGCAAAACUACCACCCUCGUGGAAAAACUUCUCUAAGAGAAUGAUGCACAAAUAUGAGGACUACUCAUUAGAUGAUCUGAUGAAACACCUUCGCAUUGAGGAGGAAACUCGCAUCAAGGACAAGCGUGGUAAACUCGGAUGGAGUGUGCAUCAUGUAUCAGCUGUGGGUUAUGGUCAUAAGACUAGGUCUUGGGGACAAAACAAAAGGAACUUGGGACCCAAGAAACUAUAAUGACCAUAAAAUUUCAACCAAUUUAAACUUUUCAAAAACAACCCCGUUUCAUUAAGUUAUUACAAAAAGGUUUUCAAUACAAUUAUCAUCAGAGUCUUCCCAGAAUCACAUCAUAAAACAAAAUCAUGAGGAGCGGUACGAUCACGCCUUUGCCUUGCCACGGUCUCCUAAAGAACCUGAAAAACAUUAAACCACAACUGUAAGCCCGAAAGCUUAAUGAGAUACCCCUAAAAUACCAACCACAUAUACCAUACACGUACAACAUGUCAUAUCAUAACAGAACACAGAACAGCCAUGCACUUCGGGUCUACUGUGUGACUGGUCCGCCGCACCGGCCAACAGUCCACCUGGUCCACCCUCCGAGUCUAGCCAUAUACAUCGAGUCUACAGUGUGAUUGGUCCGCCCGCACCGGGCCUUCAAUCCACCUGGUCCACUCUCUGAGUCUACAGUAUGACUGGUCCGCCCGCACCGGGCCUUCAGUCAGCCUGGUCCACUCUCCGAGCCUCGGCACGUCUGGUCCGCCCUCUUGGGGCCUACAGCCUAUCCGGACCGCUCGCUGGGCCUUCGGGACAACCGGUCCGCCCAGGGUAUGUUGGCCUACAGCACAAAGCAGGACCCGCCUCAACCCAACCCCAGUCCAACAACCAUGUGCACAUAAUAUUCAAUCAUAUAACAAUUCACAUGCAAUCAAGUCGAUCUAGCAGAUCACAUAACAUAACAUCAUCUUAACCAUGAUAUCGACCUAACCGGUCACUAGCAUAGCAUCAUCCUAUAUACCAGGAUACCGACCUUAACCAGGUCUCUAACAUAAUACCAUCCUAACUACUAGAAUGCAAACAUAGCAAAGCAAUAACAUAACAACGAUACCCAGAUCACAAUCCGAUAAAGGGUCGGCCUUGGUGCCUUAGACCUUGUUGAUAUAGUGAGGAUAACUUACCUCGCAACUGCCGAAACUCUGAACUGAAGAAGCAGAUUCCCGAAUCACCACCUCACUGAAAAUCUCGAAUUAUUCGAAGUAGCAAAAUAACCAUUAAACCAAACACAAUAUCCUUCCAAGGGUAAAUUGACCAAUUUACCGUCAACUCAAUCCGAUCCAUAACUAAGGCCCACAAUCAAAAUGCGAAAGGCCCAUCACUAGAUAAGCUCUCAAGCCCACUAAUGGCCCAAAGACCAAAAGUCCGAAGCAAAGCCCAAUAUUGGCCUAAUUUACUAAAUUGGGCCCACCUUACCAAAUGGGUCUAGAUCCAAGGUCCAUAAUAAUUAGUGAGUCCACAAUACUCCAUCCAUAAUGUCCAGUCACGGCCCAAGAUCUAAUAGCCCAAUUACAGCCCAAUCUCUUAAGGCCCAAAAUGAAAACCCAACAGGUAUGUUGGGCGUACAACAAUGCUCGCGGAUUGGAAUCGGGACACAGACCCACUACGCUGGGCGUCCUCCCAGUUACGCUGGGCGUAACUCCGCUGAACUACAACUUCUCAUACGAUCUUAAUGGCUUAAGCUCUUAAGUCCAAACUUCAAAUCCAUAGACCAAUUAUGCCUAGGAUUCAUAAAGUCUCAAACUUUAUUACUUGGGACGUCCAUAAAGCUCUUAAUCCAAGGUCUUAAUCCAUUAAGACCUAUCUAUAACACACGUGAGACAACCAAAGCCCUUGGGACCUCAUUUUUCUUACUCAAUACCUCUCUUGAGGUCUAAAAGGACAGCUAAUCUCAACCAACUCGAAACAUGCAUCAAGAUGAGGGUUUUUGGGACAAGAAUGAUGUCAAAACUUUACAACACAUAGAUCUACACAAUAUGAUUGUCAAGCUAGAGACUUUUUACCUCAAAAGAGCCUCAGAAUAUGAUGUCUUUCCAGAUCUAAAAGCUCCAACCACUCAACUCCUUCUUUGACAACUUCCUCUUUCUUCUUCUAGACUCUCUUUUGCCAAAACAAGCUUUCCAAGGCCAAACACAGCCAACAAUGGAGGUGGGACCAUUGUUGCCCACAUCUUUAAUUUACAACCUCUCCUCCAUCAUAAGCCGUUCUUGCCAAACUCUAUAUCCAUAUCAAGGACCGAAACGCCCUUACUCUUGCUCUUGGGAACCCAAAAUUAGAUAUUUCAAGAACAGGGCGUUACAGAAACAAAGCUUCAAGAAACCAAGUCAUCAGAAUCCUAACUCAAAGCCAAAGAGGACCGAACCUUGCCAUGUCUGCGGAGAGAUUGGGCACUAUGCGAGAGAAUCCAAAGAUCGCAAAUCAGGACCGGUUGCACAUGCAGUCGAGCAAGUGACUGAUAUGGUGGCAAGUGUGAACCUUGGAGAGAUUUUCAUGAUCUAUUCUCUUACCCAAGAAAUCUGUGCUCAAGGAUGGUUCGUAGACACUGGAGCCACUAUGCAUGUUUGUGGGCAAUGGGAGAGAUUUCGUACUUACCGUCCAAUGCCACCAGGAAUGAUAGUUGUAUGUGCUGAUAGUUACAUAGCUGAAUUUCAAGGAAUAGGUGAUGUUCGUCUGAAGUUCACACGUGGUGAAUUGGUUACCCUUCGAGAUGUUCUUCAUGUUCCUACUAUCUUGAAGGGGUUGGUUUCUGUGGACAAGUUUGACAACGGUGGGUUCAUGAUGGAGCUUGAGAAAGGCAUGAUUGUGAUCACUAAGGGCAUAAGAUAUGUUGGGAGGGCGAACAAUUGUUCGGGGAUGUAUCGUUUGUGCCUUAGUGAUGAGGGUAGUCCAAGUCGCAUUAAAGGGUAUAUAAACAAUUUCACAAAACCUUAUAUACUAGGGUGUAGGUAUGUAUGCAAUUAUGAUCCUCCUAUCCUAAAUAGCUAAAAUUAUUUGUUACUAUCUCAUAAAUGAUGAAGCCCAAGAGGAUCUUUUAGGUGUCAUAGCAAUUAAUAGGUAUUACCCAAAUUAUCCUUAUAAACAACUAACCUAACAAAUCAAAAACACAUUACAAAACACAAUACAACUAUUUAAAAAAAAUCACUUUUAUAACAAACAACCAAUGGCAACAAGGAUUUGAAUUCCACUCCCAACUAAUCAGUGUGAUCAAACAUGAUAUAUGGAAGGUUUUGAAGAAAACAUAAACUAGUUCAAGGUAUGUGGGAUGACAUAAUGUCAAGGUUUGAAGAGAAGAGUGUUUUGUUGGAUCAACUAAGCGACUACUUUUACUACCCACGAAUGUGCAUCACACAAAUUUACUUCAUUGAUGUAAAGACGUGGAGCUCUUUCGUAGCACUAAUCAAUAUGUUAGAGGUCAUUGAUUAAAGACUGAAGAUGACAACAUUUGAAGGUUUAAGCUUUUUUAUUAUUGAGAGAGAAAGAGGAGACAUUAUGGGCCCUUCUUUUAUUUUUUUUGAUUAAUUAAAAUAUUAAAAUAAGAAUAAAACUUAAAAAGGUACGAUAGUUUUUUCGACCUUUUUAGAAAUCAAAUCCACAAUAAAACUUUCAAAUAAGACCCAUUUAUUGCAAAAAGAUUUUUUUUUGAACUUUUGUUAAAACUGAAAGAGAUGAGAUGACUGUUGAAGGUUUGAGAGAAUCUCCCUAUAGUAAUAAAAUAGUAGUUCUUUUGCCAUGUGUCACUAUAUUAGACCUCUUAAUUAAUGUGUUGCCACUUGUCAAUCUAUUAGUUCUCCAUUUUAAAUUAAAUUUUAAAUUUUAUAUUAUUCUUUUCAUUAAUUCACAAAAAAAAUCUAAUAUAUAUUAACAAUUAUUUUUAUAUAUUUAUUUGAAUCAACGAUUAUAAUUUCACAUAACUAAUAAAAAUAUCUCUUACUUAGUAAUUUAUUUAAAAUAAUUGAUUAAUAAUUUUGAUUUUUUUUUUAUUAUAAAAGUUUAAUUAUUUUUAUAACCGUGGUUGCUACUGAUUAUAAACUAGUAAGAUAAAUAUUGGAGGUUUGAGAGUGAUAAUAAAUGAAGAUAAAUGUUGAUAUUUAUAUUUUGGUUGAAAAGUUGUUUAAAAUUUAUAAUUUUGAAUUAAAAAACGGAUAUAUUUUUUAAAUGGAUUUUCUCUCUCAUCUUGAAACCAUUGCCCAAAUUGGUUAUCGAGCUCGGCAUGCUGAGGAGGCUGGGUGGCGUGCGCGUAGCCACCUUAGCCAUGCCAGGGAUAAAAACCGGCUUCCUGAUGCAAAUUACAAAGACUUGGACGUUGACUUGGGUCAUGGGAUGAAAAUAGCUCGACCAUAGAUGUACUUCUAGGGCUGCUUCAUCAGACGGUUGACAUAGCCAUAUAAGUUGACAUUUCUACGCUCAAAACGAAUCGCUCCAUUGUUUCAUGUAGAGGUGGCAAUCGUGUCGUGUCGUGUCGGGUUCGUGUCGUGUCGAAACACUAAACGGGUUGAAAGUGUUUGACCCUAACCCGACCCAUUUAAUUAACGUGUCGUGUCGUGUCAACCAGUUUAUUUUCGUGUCGGGUUUCGGGUUAGGGUUAUAUCUUGAAAUAUGUCGUGUCAUGUGAGGUUAAAAGAUUGAGCAUCUUGAAAGAGUAGGAGUUUGGUAGGCGGAAAUGAAAAACUAAUUGUUUUGAGGCAGAAUAGAUGAAUCCAUAGCAAGUUUAGAUGACAAAAUUAAAAGAGUGAGAGUUGGGGAGGCGGAUGACAAUGUCAUGAGGAUGUGAGAGUGGUGAAAGAGACUGGGUAGUUUGGGAGAGAAUGGAAAAACUGAAAUGAAAUCUUGAUCUAGACGGCUAAGUCAUUUCAGCAUUACAAAGCAAUCCAAUACAAAAGUUUUCUUUUACUUAUGCUUUUGGUUUUGUAUAUUUUCUAGUUUAUUUAAAUAAUUUAAAAACUUGCAUAUAAAUAAACGGGUCAGUUUCGAGUCAUAUUCGAGUUGAAAUUCCCAACUCUAACCUUACCCAUUUAAUUUUUGGGUCGUGUCGUGUCAACCUGUUUAUUUAAACGGGUUGAAAUAUCUUACCCAAACCCAUUUAUUUCGUGUCGGGUUCGUGUCGGGUUUCGUGUCGUAUCAAUUUUUGUCACUUCUAGUUUCAUGUAUUAUUUUUAUAUGGUUGCAUAUCUUUCUGAAAGUUGCAGCAAACCAAACACCCAUUCAAUCUGGAUUUGUAAAAAUUGUCUUCGUUAAUAAAUAUUAUAAAAUACUUUAUUAUAUUCUUAAUUUCUUAUUUCUUAUAUAAAAUCAAAUGGAUAUUUAUCACACUUCUAAUAUCAGUUAAUAAAAGUAAAAUCAAAAUUAGAGUUAUAAGAGAAAUAAUAACAUAAUUUUCUGGGUUUGUUUAGUGCAAGAUUUUAUUUUUAUUUCGCUGUUGUACUUUCAUAGUUUUCUUAAACAAAUACUUAGUUUUUUAAGAAAAAAGAAGUUUAAAAAUACAAUAUUGCCGCGUAAUUAACAAAAAAUCAACUGAAUCGGACGCUUCCAAGAGUUGUUCAAUUAUUUUUAAAAAUAUCUAAUCCGAAGCAGCACCAAUUGUGCGCGCAUUUAAACAAACAGCGUCAAUUUUGGAUGAAAAGAGGAAGACGAUGCUUCCAUUCAACUUACAGGAAGCUUCCUACUUACCGUUUAACCAUCGCAAUCUCUCUCUCUCUCUACAAGUUUAAUCUAUAUAUGAGAUCUCUUUUGAUUCUAUGUUAUUUUUUUGUCUGUAACUGUUAUAUAUUUGUUUGUUGAGAAAUGUUGAGGAAAAAUUGGCGUUUCUGGAGAUUUUUUGGAAGAAUCUGAGUGAAGCAUGCCGUAAUAGCAGAUUUUCCUAUCAGGUAAUUUCAUUUGUGUUUUUAAUAUUUCUUAAGAAAAUUUGAGGCUACAGAACUCAAGAAUGGAUGUCGUCAUCACUGAAAUUCGGUUUUUAGGUUGAAUUUUGGUGACAAAUUUCGUUAUUACUUUUCGGCCUAGAGGAGUAGUAGUUUGUAUUCGCAAGUUUGAGUUAGCAGUCAGCCGUUUUAACCGAUUCUGUGUUCCUUUUUUUGUUGUUAACUAAAAGUAAUCGUGAGUUUGAUAGGUUAUCUACUUAGGGUUUUACCAUUAAAUCACGAACUCAACUUCGUUAUUGAGUCGUUAUACAACAAUGAUGGUUGUAAUAUUAUAAUCAUUGAUUUUAGUUUUUUCAAACAUGCGCAUUUGAAAAGGAAAGACAAUCAUAAUAACAAUGAAGAAGUGGAAUUAUACAUAGUAACAUGUUGUUUCAUGUUCAUAAGGUCAAAUCCUGCUAAUUUCUUAUACAGUGAAAUGCAGUUUUGGUUCCUGCUAGUUUUCAAAUAGAAAAAUAACAUAAAUGGUCCCUGUUUGACAAAAAAUUACAGAAAUAGUACCUGUAUAACAAAAUUACAGAAACCAUCUCCGUCUAAGACAAAAUUACAGAUAUGGUCCCUUUGUAGGAAAUAGACGGAAUUACAGAAAUGGACCCGUGUAAGAAAAAGUUACAGAAAUGGUCCAUGUGUAACGAAGUUACAGAAGUCGUCCCUGUGUAAGACAAAGUUACAGAAAUGGUCCCUGUGUGUAAGACAAAUUACGGAAAUGGUCUCACGCAAUGCGCGGGCUUAAAACUAUCGUUAUAUACAAAAGCAAUGUAAUUAUAAUAUUCUAUUAUGUUUUAGAGCUUUGGUAAACAAAAAAAAGUGAGAAUUAAUGUUGUUUUUGCUUACAUCAUUAGCUUGUUACAAGCUGAUGCAUAUUCUAUAAUCCGUUAUGUAUUUAUGUGCACUAUGUUUAUCAAAUAAACUUGUGGUUAUCUUUGUAGUUUAAGUUCAUUUUGGCUGUACCCAAUGCUACGUGCACUAUGUUUACCUCAUAAAUAAUUCCUUUUAGCAUCAAGUACACAUGCAUAUCAACUUGUUUAUUACCUCUAAAUUUGUAUAACUUUUGUAGAAUGUGAAAACUGAUCCAAAUGAGUUGUUCUGAUGGAUGUUGUUGCUCAUCUUGAGAUCCAUAAUCAAAGUUGCUCACCUAUUGGCGACUCUGAUUUAGAGAGCAUUUAACCUGUUUUAACUACACAAAGGAUAAUGGACUUUGUAUUACGAAAAUAAACCAUAUUUCUUUAUUUGUUAUCAGAAGGGUUUACAAGCUCAACUGUUAGUGGUGAUAUAUUUCGGAGAGGAAAGCCCUUAAAUGAAGUUCUUCGAUCCAGAGGGGGGAUUUAUUUUGCAAUGGAACAAAACUUUUUUACUAUGUUCUGUCAUAGCACUGUCUUUGGAUCCUCUGUUUUUCUACAUUCCUAUUGUUGAUGGCACACAAAAAUGCCUUGAUGUGGACCACAAGUUGAAGAUGGUUGUAUGUGUUCUUCGUUCUUUUGCGGAUAUGUUAUUUGUAUUUCACAUUAUUAUCCAAUUUCGAACUGCAUAUGUUCCUCGUCAUAAUCACAUACUUGGAAAGAGAAUAGUUAGAGAUGAACCUCAUUAUGUGGCAACACGUUACUUUUCAUCCUACUUCAUCAUUGAUGUGCUAGCAGCCCUUCCACUUCCACAGGUAUGUCAGCUGGAUUAAUGAAUAGUAUAACUUUAGUCUAUUUUAUGUUAUGAAGUAUGAACUUGAAUUAAAGAUUGUUUGUGCAGUUGGCAAUUUUGGUAAUUAUCCCAAACUUAGAUGGCCCUACUCCGUUUUUGACUGAAAGAAUUUUGAAGCUCGUUAUUUUCAGUCAAUACGUCCCUCGAGUUAUUAGGAUUUCUUUGUUCUAUAGAAAGGUGACGAAAAUUUCUGGCUUCCUCACUGAAAAAGCAUGGGCUGGAGGCGCUUUUAACUUUUUCCUCUAUGUUCUAGCUAGCCAUGUAAGUACUAUUUCAUGGAUUCCUAAUCAUAUUACAGAAAAAAAAAAAUAUAUGCUCCAUUAAAUGUAGUGUGGGAAGUUACCCAUUACUAUAGAUAUACGUUUCAUAUUGUUACGCUGCUGAUGUUAAGAAAAAUUUGUUUGUUAAUAGGUAGUUGGAGCCCUAUGGUACUUGUUUGCAAUAGAAAGCGAACUGAGAUGCUGGGCUAUUGCAUGUCAAAGGCAUAAUUGUGACUCUAAAUAUUUAUAUUGUGGUGAAGGCCGCAUGGGAGAUUUUGGGUUUUUGAACGAUUCAUGCCCUCUUCUUGAGCGAAAUGAAAUUAAAGAUUCAACAAACUUUGAUUUUGGAAUAUUUCUUGAUGCUCUUCAAACUCGUGUGUUGGAAACAAGAGACUUCCCUCAGAAAUUCUUGUAUUGUUCAUGGU